rnacentral:siRNA from 1 species
GCGGCGGGUAGAAUCCUUUGC